rnacentral:tRNA from 1 species
CGGAUGUAGCCAAGUGGAUCAAGGCAGUGGAUUGUGAUC